AGAGAGCAGAGACCAUGAACGUAGAAGAAGAAGUUGAGCGACUCAAAGAAGAAAUCAAACGACUUGGCAAGGCCCAAGACGAUGGCUCUUACAAGGGUACAUGUGGUUGGAAGCUGUUCUUUCAUCAGUAAGGGUGAAGAGUUCGAUCUUUAUCUGAUCCAAGUAUUUUGACCAUGCUUUCCAUUACUAAUAUGCCCUCUUUAAGUUUCGG
rnacentral:misc_RNA from 1 species